GGGGGGGGGGGGGGGGGGGGGGGGGGGGGGGGGGGCGGGCGGGGGGGCGGGGUGGGGGGGACACGAGGGGCGGACGGGUGAGUAAGAGGGGGGUGACCUGCCCGCAAGGUGGGUAGAACGCUCGGAAACUGGGGCUCAUACUGGGUCUGUGCUCCUGCUGCAGGGUGGUGGUUGGAAAUAUCCGGAGGUUGUGGAUGGAUUCGCGGCCUAUCAGCUUGGUGGUGGGGUGGUGGCCUACCAGGGCGGCGACUGGUAGCCGGACUGAGAGGGUGACCGGACACAGUGGGUAUGAGAGAAGGCCCAGACUCCUACGGGAGGCAGCAGUGGGGAAUAGUGCACAAUGGGCGGAAGCCUGAUGAAGCAACGCCGCGUGCGGGAUGACGGCCUUCGGGUUGUAAACCGCUUUCAGCAGGGACGAAGCUUUUUGUGACGGUACCUGAAGAAGAAGCAACGGCUAACUACGUG
rnacentral:rRNA from 1 species